rnacentral:lncRNA from 1 species
GCAAGGAGAGUAUGAUUUUCCUUUCACUGAAUUGGUAAAAACCGAAUGAAUGAAAUACUCCCUAUUUAUAGGAUUUUUGAAGUUGGGGCAAAAUUGUCAUUUAGAAAAAUAAAUUUUGAAUGUAUGGCUUAGAUCAAUCAUUUUUGAAUUGAAUGAUCCAGAUUUGAUCAAUCUUAUAUGCGAUAAAGAGGUUAAAUUCCGCCCAGGCAUUUUUUGACCGACUAAGCAUUUAAUUAUUGUUUGACUAAUACAAGCCAACACAUGUUUCAAUUAAAGUCCCAAAAAGAUAGUCACUUUGUAAUCAUACGGUUUUUAUUCUUCAAAGAAAUGGCAGC